UCGUGUAUAUAGCAGCAUGCAUAAAAAGAGGCAGAUCCAGGGUAAUACUAGUAUAGGGCACACCAAUAUUACUUCAUAAUUAUAAAUCUUAGUAAAUUGUAUCCAGUUUAGAAAAUUUUACCAUUGCCUUUACCACCCAGACCAUUAUAAAAAUAAUGUUUGCUUCCCUAAAAGCAUCUGACUUUUAAAAAAUCCUGCAGAGUCUUUUUUAAAUAUGCCAACAUACCUUUCCAUACCCAAAAGACAAGGAUCAGGUUGGGGCAAAAUAUGUGUAAAGGGGGCAUUAUUCCUCCUCAUAUUCUAAAUAAUCUCUGGAGCUGCCUCUGAUAAUUAUCACAACAUCAAUUAUAUUAUUUAUUUCACUAUCUUCAACAAACAUUUAAGAAUAAUAAACAACUCUUUAUAUAUUUAGUACUUAAAUCAAAAACAGUUGAUAUACGAUAAAUAAAAUUAAACAUAGCAAUAUUCUAG
rnacentral:lncRNA from 1 species